AAAGAUUUAGUUUAUAAUAUUGAAAAUUUUGGGUUGUCAAUCCAAAGAAUUAAUUCUUUA
rnacentral:tRNA from 1 species